CAUAGCAUUUUGGCGUGCCGCAAAGCUGUGUGGAUGUUGAUUGUGCCGAAAGGUACUCCAAAAGUAGCGGAAUAAGCUUCCACAAGUGCCCCGUGAACCCUGACAGGCGCAGAAGGUGGAUAAACAGCGUAGAUCACAAAAAUGGUUGCCGCGUACGGACGAUCGCUUGUGUGGCAAGCACUUCGUUGGAGGUAAGCUGUAGCAGUUGUAGCUUCCUCUGCAAUCUCCAUUCCCAGCACUGUGGCACACCUAUCCAUAGACAAACAGUUGUCUGAAUCAGACUGCCUGGACUUCAUUCUUACUGCGUUCGGCGGUUGCUCGAUACAAUCGUGCCUUGAAUCUUAAACAGGGUGUCUACCAAAUUGCUAUUUCAAAUUCUUGAGCUUUUCCAGAUUUCCCUGACCAUAUUCCUUGACAGUUUCUGGGUCUAAGGAUGACAUUUCGGCAACAUUAUUUAGUAUGGCCGUACUGAUGCGGAACCGUCAAACUUUGUUCCGCACCACCGUGGCACUUUCACUAGUCAUUUUCCUUGAUUAUUCGCUGACUUCUGUAGAUAAUGCAAAAUUUCCUGAGAAUUCCAUGUUUUCCAGGUUGGCAGACACCCUGGCUGACAGAUCGACGGUGGGACGUAGCACUGUUAAUGCACAGUUUGCCGUUGUAUUGCUGCCGUUCGGGCUCUGGUAAUGAGCGCUAAGAGUCAGACAUGACUUGUUACGCAAAAAAAACCCCGCAGAAAUUGAGUUAAAACACGCCAGAAGCGCAAGCGAGCGAAUAUACAUGAUGCAACGCAAUAGCGAAAACACGGCAAGAGCAGUCGCUCUUGCACAUGCCUCUACCGUGCAUGGCUCUCCGGCCGUGUUUGUAGACAGUGCACCCCUGCACGUUGGUGUAUAGCUAAAAGUCGUUCCGCACCGUGGGGAUAAAUAUUUUGUUAUAUUUUCUGACUGUUCUUUUUUAUAUAGGAUUAUGAAGCGCCGCAAGCAAUAUCUUGAGCCACAUUCUUCAGCCAAAGUGCCUAGAGAAACAUUGAGACGACUGCUGACUCAAUCACAGGUUGCUAGCUCAUCAGUGGGAGCUUUCUCACCAGAGGCUGGUGAACUUGACAUCAAUGAUGAGUAUAUACAGUCACGAAAUGGCAGUCAGCGUGAGCUCCAGGACGAAGAGUCAUCGAGAUUCUCCUCAGUGCAAGAAGUACCAACAUCGUCUCGUGACACAGUAACAUCCCG